CUUGAUCAAUUAUAAGAGGUCAAGCCUGCCCAGUGACAUUGUUCAACGGCCGCGGUAUCCUAACCGUGCGAAGGUAGCGUAAUCACUUGUUCUUUAAAUAAGGACUAGUAUGAACGGCUUCACGAAGGCUAUACUGUCUCCUUAAUCUAAUCAAUUAAACUAAUCUCCCCGUGAAGAAGCGGGGAUUCGUCUAUAAGACGAGAAGACCCUAUGGAGCUUUAAACAUCUAAGACACUUGAUUAUAUCUACUAAACUUCAUGCAACCUAUCAUUUUGUCUUAAGUUUUAGGUUGGGGUGACCACGGAGAAAAAUUAAACCUCCACGUAGAAAGAAAAUUCUUUUCUAAGCAAAAAGCCACAUCUUAACGCAUCAAUAUAUUGACUUAAAUUGACCCAAUUUCUUGCUCAACGAAC
rnacentral:rRNA from 1 species